GGGUGGGUCAAUGACUCACAUGUGACCUCAACGACUCUGUAGGGUUCACACCCACAGAGUUUAAAGCCUGCAACUCCGCACCAGUCCAUUUAGAACUGAAGAAGUUUCUUGGAUAAGAGGUGAAACGUCUUCAACUUGGAUGACUUCACCGUGUUAUAUACAUGUUGUUUUCUCUCAUUAAUCCACACUGACAGGCGGGUCCGUCCCCUCUCCCUGCAUGCUGCAGUCUUCCCCUCAUCCAAAAUUCAUACUCUACCUUGUGCUGACAUGUUUACUUGCGCGGAUAUUCUGAAUUAUUGCAACCAGACGCAACCAAAGUUUCUCAGCUUAAGACACACAACACCUCCCAUGUACACUCAAAAGCUCUGGACAUUUCCUGAGGAGCACCUGCUGUUUUCAGAUGGAAAAAAUGCUAUGGUGGACAUGGGGCCUUAUUCGGUUCAAAAUAUUUGGACUGUCAAAUACGUGUUGUGCGGGGCGCCCGAACUCCCGUCUCAUGUUGAAGGAGGUGUCGUUGCUGCAGCGGCCAUGGGUUCGACUCCUACCCACAGACCUUGACUACAUGUCAUCACCCCUCCUUCUCAUCCUUUCAUGCUAUAUCUGUCCUAUCAAAUAAAGGCAAAAAAAACCCUUAAAAAUAUCUUUAAAAAUAAUAAAAAUAAUAAUACAUCUUUUGCAUUCUUGAUAACCAAUCCCCAUUGUGGGUUUGGUUGUCACCAUGGCGUUGGUUGUCCCUUUCGUAUUUAAAUGGGGGAAAAUUAAAAAAUGGAGGCCAGUGGAAAUGCAACAACCUUAACACAUCUCUGGUAUUGAGAGAACGUAAAAUGGAAAAAUCAUUCUUAUAAGUGCUUUUUUAUUCUUUUAUUGUUGCAUUACGAGAAAAAAUACAAAGAACCAUACAUGUGACAACCCACCCCGAAGAGAAAGUGAUAAGCAUCCUCAGCUGGGAUUUUUUGCUAGCGACUAAGACAACAACCAAAUGUUGUAGCCUAGCCAAGAAUGAGACUAUAGCUCUCCUUUCAUAUUUUUCAGUGGUAGAAACUGUUUUAUUAUAAAACCAUUGUGUAAAAACCUAGGAGAGAAAUGCACAAGUGCUAAAUAUUUUCAUUCUGACAUGAAAAUAAGUAAAUAUCCUCAGCUCAGCGUCAAGUGUCUCAUGCCUCAUGCCGCAACCUCAUGUCUCUCAUUUACCUCUAAGUAGGAGGUCGGAGCUGGGAAUGAUUUCACACACGAUUUGAUUCCCUAGAUUUUAUUAGCAAUACCAGUUCAAGCCAUAAAACUGGAUGGAGAGGCACUAGAAGAGGUGGACACGUAUACAUACCUGGGAAGCGUUGUCGGGAAGGAUGGAAGCAGUGACAAAGACAUUCAAGCAAGGAUAGGGAAGGCAAGAACAGCCUUUUUAAUACUGAAGCCAGCAUGGAACACAAACCACAUCUCCACAAAAACUAAACUCCGCAUCUUCAACUCCACCAUUAAACCAGUCUCACUCUAUGGGGCAGAAACAUGGAGAACUACAAAAGCAUCAUCAAACAAGCUCCAAACACUCAUUAACAGAUGCUUACGACACAUCCUGGGAAUGUACUGGCCUAACACCAUCGCAAACGAAGAGCUCUGGCAAACCACACAACAAGAACACAUUGAAACCCAAGUCAAAUGCAGGAAAUGAGGCUGGAUCAGGCACACCUUGAGAAAACCAUCCUCCAACACAACCAGACAGGCCUUAACCUGGAACCCACAAGGGAAUCGAAAGCCAGGAAGACCAAGAAACAGCUGGAAAAGGUCUGUCGAGGCGGAACUCAAGGAAACAAGAACAUCCUGGAAGGAAGCAGAGAAGAUCGCCCAACACCGAACUAGCUGGAGGAAGUUCAUGAAUGACCUAUGCUCCCCAAAGAGCAAAAGGGUUUAAGUCACGUAAGUCAGGUCUGAUCAGCAGGUGACCUUUGACCUCUGUCUCACGUGUCUACGCACAGCAGGUCCUGACAGGCUGUAACCCUCUGGUGUUUCAAAGCCUAAAGGUUGUUGCACACUUACUCAACGGAGACCACAACGGUGUUGAGCUCGUCGGACAACAUCCGGUUGAGGCUAUCAUAUGCCCCCUUCUCUGAGGACAUGAGAGAAAGAGAGAGAGAUGAAGGAGUGUGAAAAAGACAGCAAGAAUGAUCGUACUUACUGCCACUACCAAGCGCCCAGCCUCCUCCGUGGAAAAACAACAACCCUCUCCUCAGAUGACCCUCCCCCCCAGCCGGGGGCUCGUACACUCGGACUGGGACACCAGCGAAAGUCAUGUCACUGACUUUCACUCCGAGCAUGACCCCUCCGCUGGACUCAGAACCACGCAGCCCAGCCAUCAGGCCAUCGAAACCUUCUGUGGACUGCCUCACUGAUAUGAUGUAAUGGUCAGAGCCCAGCCAAGCCUGCAAACGGCUCUGAAGACAGAGAAGAAAUUCAAGACACAUUUAUGCGAAGAGUAAAAAAAGCAGACUGUCUCAACAGUCAGGGUCAACCAAGGACGGCAGACACAGCUGUCUGGCACAGUGUAGGCUCAGCAAUGUCAGCAACACCAAUGUAGCAAGGUGCAUGGUGGUCCUGAACGCAGCAUCCAGCAUCAUCAGCUU